ACCCCCACCUUGCCCUGGAAGGUGCAGAGCAGGCCGCUCUUGAGGCAGAAGGAGUGGAAGAGGGUCAGCAGGUCCAGGUUGGGCACUUGCCCGUUCAGCCCCUCCACGGCCACGUCCACGCUGGUCAGCACGUCCGAGCUCAGCUCCAGCGCCAGCGCCGCCUGGAUGGCGCCCG